rnacentral:tRNA from 1 species
GAAUUGUUAGCUCAGUUGGUUUAGAGCACUGCCUUGACAUGGCAGAGGUCGCCGGUUCGAGCCCGGCACGGUUCAC